rnacentral:rRNA from 1 species
UACGUAGGGUGCAAGCGUUGUCCGGAAUUAUUGGGCGUAAAGAGCUCGUAGGCGGUUCGUCGCGUCGGCUGUGAAAUCCCGAGGCUCAACCUCGGGUCUGCAGUCGAUACGGGCGGACUGGAGUACUGCAGGGGAGACUGGAAUUCCUGGUGUAGCGGUGAAAUGCGCAGAUAUCAGGAGGAACACCGGUGGCGAAGGCGGAUCUCUGGGCCUUACCUGACGCUCAGGUGCGAAAGCUAGGGGAGCGAACAGG